UACUACUUCAGAAGGAGGACCUUCAUCACGAUAACCUCCACGACCACCGAAUCCACCACCACCACGACCUCCUCUAAAACCACCACCUCUACCACCACCAUCUCUACCUCCUCUGAAUCCACCACCUCUUCCGCCACCUCUUGGAGGUCGCAUUGUUUUACUUGUGUAGAUAGAUAGAAGAUCAAACCCUAACCCUAAUUUAGAAAAUGAAGCAGGAGAGAGAGAGAGAGAGAGAGGUGUUUGUUACUUUGUUUUGAUGGAGGCUUUUGUUUGCUUUUGGUGGUAGAUUGGUUGAGCUGAGCCUAG
rnacentral:lncRNA from 1 species